ensembl:lncRNA
AUGUGUGAUGGCCGAACCUGUGGCCACACAUUGAUAAGGUUUAAGUUACCGUGGCAUGGAGGUUGGAUGAAUGGCGUUGACUCAGGUGUGCGUCUUUCCGUCAUCGCGGUCUUGACUGACAAAAGGCUGAGGCGCGUGCGGCAGUCAAUAUUUAUGGUCUGAGCAUUCCACUGGACGAUACCAACUGGAUGCUAUGUCAUGGGGGGGUGAAGAAAUGAAGUUAUAUUUCUGAUUGGUUCCAAUUUAUUUUUAGUAUUAAUAUUUGUUGUUUUGUAUUAUUAGAUUGUUUUGUUUGUUACUCUAUUUACUUUGAUUAGAUAACUUGUAACUAAUUUGUUGGUUUAUAAAGUGUUGAUUGUAUGUUUUCCCCUGUCUUGUUUAAGUGAGCUCACCGUCUGUGAUAAAUACCUGUCUGUUGUCUCAUUUAGGGGGUUAGUUUUGUUUUGUUCAGUUCUUCUUAAGUUUCGUUAUAUUGAAUUAAAACUUGUUUUGUUUACUUUAUUAAAGUCUAGCUAGAUUAUUUGUUAGAACAAGUUGAUUUAUUUUGUAACUGAGACCUUUUUCUUAUUUUUGAGUAAAAUAAAACCUUUUUUUUGUUGGCAAUCCUGUGUCCUCGUGUCUUACUACUUGGCGAUAUCCGACAAUAUGGAUUCGCGCUUAAUAGUCUGUGUGUUUCUCGUGGACUUGGGAUAGACUCUGUAGUGAUGGUUUGCAUCAGGACGACUUGUACUUUUGUCGAGAAGAUAUGCUGAGAUAUGUGACGGCAGCACUGGGGUUACCCAAAUAAAAGGCAGAAGUGGGGGCAAUUGAUGAUGUACCCAAAACCCAUUACCGCCAUACCAUUACCAUGUCUGAAGGUUAUAAUAUCAGCUGGCUGUUUCUAAUAAGUGUUUGCAGUUACCUUUCUGGUUGUUGACUGAUUAGCAGCGGAGGUGGUGGUCAGAUGGAUGCUGAUGGCUGCAGUUCUGUCACUGUCUGUCGUUUCUGGGCCGUCUCUGUCUACUCAGAGUAGGGAAUUGGGAGGAAUGAGCUGGGUAUAGCAGGUGAGAUGUGGCCCUGCGGUUUUGGCAUUUUGUCUAUGUUUAUCGUGUUCCCACGCUGUUCCUCCUCAUUGCCUCUCUGUAAGGCCCUCCCUGGUGGCCUUGUCACUCUAAUUAGGUGACAGACGGCAGCAAACAAUAUCCCUCAUUACUGCUGACAUGGGCGACUCUCAUAGUCACACACAAUUGUUAUCCCUUCUUAUAUACACAAACACAGACACGCAUACACAUACACAGAAGAGGCUAAAACAAAUAUAUGCACUAUGACAAGCAUCAAUCUUGUGUAAUGUCUCACUUGUUCUCAUCCUCAAACAAUUGCUGCAGAAGCCGAGACAUGUCCUUAGUCAGGGUUAAGCAAAUGUUGGAAUAGCUGCCUAUUAUUUUGGUACGCACCUCAAAAUAAAUGUGAUAGUAAUGCUGGUUGUUCUUCAGUCACUAUGGUGAUUGGCAGUAUCGCAGGUAUUGUGGUGUCUGUGGAAUUUCAGGAAGCUAUUUUUUUUUCGUCACACACAUUGAAGGAAUAGGUCAACCAAAAAUAAAAAUCUGAACUUUUAUUCAUCCUCAUGUUCUUCUAAACCUGUAGGAUUUCUUUUUAUCAUAUGACAUGUAAAAGAAGAUGAUUGUCCAGGCUGCUCUUUUACAUGCAAUGAAACUCGGUUGUAACUUAUUAAGUGAUAGUAACAGUCAAACCCCAAAAAAGUAAAUAAAUAAAAAAAUAAUAAUAAUAAAAAAAAACAUUUAAUAUAUAUAUAUAUAUAUAUAUAUAUAUAUAUAUAUAUAUAUAUAUAUAUAUAUAUAUAUACACACACACACACACACACACACACACACACACACACACACACACACACAUAUAUAAACUAUAUUAAGUAUUUUAAAGACACAAAAUAACUUGUGAUAAAUAUGAGCCAUUAAGUGUUGAAAAUCUCACCCUUCGCUACAGCUAUCAAAUCUUAUUUGUACCUGCAUUAAGUUAAAUACAUUCAAGCAUCCUAAAUCACGUCACAAGAUAUGUGUCACAAUGAUGUUGUGUGAAGCAUGACAAUUUUUAAUGCGUCAUGAUUAAAUUACCACAAGUGUGAAUCAAAGGGUUAUUUGAGGGUGCAUGAGUAUAAAGUAAAUAAGUG